rnacentral:tRNA from 1 species
GCCCGGCUGGCUCAGUAAGAAAAGCACGUGACUCCCAAUCUCAGGAUAGUGGGUUUGAGCCCCACGUUGGGUG